GACGAACGCUGGCGGCGUGCCUAACACAUGCAAGUCGAGCGGAGCGAAUGAAAGCUUGCUUUUAUGAGCUUAGUGGCAAACGGGUGAGUAACACGUAGACAACCUGCCGACAGGAUGGGGACAACAUUCCGAAAGGAAUGCUAAUACCGAAUGAAGCGGAGGAGAGGCACCUCUCCUCCGUGAAAGAUGGCCUCUGAACAUGCUAUCACCUGUCGAUGGGUCUGCGUCUGAUUAGCUAGUUGGUGAGGUAACGGCUCACCAAGGCGACGAUCAGUAGCCGGUCUGAGAGGAUGAACGGCCACAUUGGGACUGAGACACGGCCCAGACUCCUACGGGAGGCAGCAGUGGGGAAUCUUCCGCAAUGGGCGCAAGCCUGACGGAGCAACGCCGCGUGAGCGAAGAAGGUCUUCGGAUCGUAAAGCUCUGUUGACGGGGACGAACGUGCGAAG
rnacentral:rRNA from 1 species